rnacentral:tRNA from 1 species
CAGCGGAAAGCCAAAACAGAGGCAUUUAACUGUUAAUUAAAAGAUUGUAAUUAUGUUACUCCACUGG